rnacentral:rRNA from 1 species
UACGGAGGGUGCAAGCGUUAAUCGGAAUUACUGGGCGUAAAGCGUGCGCAGGCGGUUUGUUAAGUCUGUUGUGAAAUCCCCGAGCUCAACUUGGGAAUUGCAAUGGAUACUGGCAGGCUGGAGUAUGGUAGAGGAAGGUGGAAUUCCCGGUGUAGCAGUGAAAUGCGUAGAGAUCGGGAGGAACACCAGUGGCGAAGGCGGCCUUCUGGACCAAUACUGACGCUGAAGCACGAAAGCGUGGGGAGCAAACAGG